GAAUAAUCGGUUCAGUUUGAAACAACUAAUAGUUUGGUUGUUUUUUAAACUAUGAUUUUGGUUGUUUUCAAAUGUAUAUUCCUAAAUUCAAACAUUUUUGUUUGUUUGUGAUUAAGCUCUUUGUUGGGUUGAUUCUGCUUGAAAAAAUAUAUCAAUUCAACAUUGAUUAUGGUUGUUCGAAAUUGUAUUUCUUGUUGAAUCAACCUAAAGUCUAGUUUAUUUCAAAAAUAUAUACAUUUAUAAGUUGUUGGUUUGACAGCUUGAUGACAACAUAAAAUAUUAGGUUAAUUUAAAGUGAACAGAAAGUUGAUGCUAAACUUUAUUUAUGUUUACCAAAAAAACAAACCACAUCUAUGUUUGAUACAACCUAAAAUUUUAGUUUAUUCAAUUAUUGUCAGUUACUUUUUCUCUUGGCUGCUGGUGUGAAAAGAAAACUACUUCAACCACGACAGAACCAAAGUUGGGACAAACUGUUUUUUUCCACUGUUUUCUUCCGGAUCAACUAAAAUUAAAGGUACAGCAUGAUAUUUCCUUCGUCCAAUUGUUGUCCAUAGUCGUCACCCCUUCUGGGCUAUUAAAAAAAAAAAAAUUCUGACUGUUUGAUAGAUAUGGAACGAAAAUAUCAAAAUAAUAAUAACGUGUUUUCAAAGAAUAAAAUAUGUAUGUUGUAUACAAAUGGC